rnacentral:lncRNA from 1 species
GCAAAAAAUCACAUUACGUCAGAAAAAAAUAUUGGGAAAACUUGCGAUUACAAUACAACAUUGCCACUUGCAACCAUCAUAAAACAGGAGAGCAAGUAUCAGCAGAGCUCGUUAAGAAUAGCUACCAUACAAGAUUACGCCUAUGGCCUAUCCAAGAACCUAACUUAUCACACAACUUAAGAAGGAGAUAGGGCAGGAUAUCCGCAAGCGGAUAUCCUGAACUGUGAUAGACUUUAAAACCAAACAGCCAAUUCCCAUAAGAAAAGGCAGGAAUUUCCUUCAUAGAUAAAACAAGAUUAUAGCACGGCCGGCGUAUACUCUACUAAAUAAAACAAGAUUGAAGCAAGAUACCUGGCCAUCUGCAAUAAUCAACAGUACAUGGUACUGGCCGUGACUCUCCUCAACAAUAGUCAUGGCCUGUUCAAUUACAGGUGCAAAUGAAGUCGGUCCUGC